CCGUGCUAAGUGGGGAGGUAGCGGUGCCCUGUACCUGCAAUCCGCUCCAGCAGGACUGAAUUCCGCUUCUGAGGAUAUUCCGUGUGAGGACUGCCUUGAUCUCACCGGUGUUGAGAUUCCGGUCCUAUGCAAUAGAACGUCACGAAUCAUGUCAGGUCCGGAAGGAAGCAGCAUUAAGUGGCCCAUUCUAUGUGCCGUAGGACAGCCGGAGUUGAGCUGGUGGAUCAAGUAACGCUUGUGCCGAAUGUUCAAAGAAGCGGUGCACGG
rnacentral:SRP_RNA from 1 species